rnacentral:tRNA from 9 species
AGCUCCGUGGUGAAGAAACAUGUUGGAUUGCAAAUCCAGAGACGUAGAUUAAUAGUCUGCCGGGGCUU